CCAAUAGCGUAUAUUAAAGUUGUUGCAGUUAAAAAGCUCGUAGUUGAAUUUCGGGAUUGACGUGACGGUCAUGCCUUAAGGGGUAUGAACUGUUGCUGUUGAUUUCUCACCUUCUGGAGAAACUUGAUGUCCUUUAUUGGGUGUCUUGCGGAUCCAGGACCUUUACCUUGAAAAAAUUAGAGUGUUUAAAGCAGGCAUUUUUGCUCGAAUACAUUAGCCUGGAAUAAUAGAAUAGGCCGGCAUGGUUCUAUUUUGUUGGUUUCAUGGGUCACCGGAAUGAUUAAUAGGGAUAGUUGGGGGCAUUAGUAUUCAAUUGUCAGAGGUGAAAUUCUUGGAUUUAUUGAAGACUAACUACUGCGAAAGCAUUUGCCAAGGAUGUUUUCAUUAAUCAAGAACGAAAGUUAGGGGAUCGAAGACGAUCAGAUACCGUCGUAGUCUUAACCAUAAACUAUGCCGACUAGGAAUCAGACGAUGUUAAUUUUUUAAUGACUCGUUUGGCACCUUACG
rnacentral:misc_RNA from 1 species